AUUGAACGCUGGCGGCAGGCCUAACACAUGCAAGUCGAACGGUAACAGGAAGCAGCUUGCUGCUUUGCUGACGAGUGGCGGACGGGUGAGUAAUGUCUGGGAAACUGCCCGAUGGAGGGGGAUAACUACUGGAAACGGUAGCUAAUACCGCAUAACGUCGCAAGACCAAAGAGGGGGACCUUAGGGCCUCUUGCCAUCGGAUGUGCCCAGAUGGGAUUAGCUAGUAGGUGGGGUAACGGCUCACCUAGGCGACGAUCCCUAGCUGGUCUGAGAGGAUGACCAGCCACACUGGAACUGAGACACGGUCCGGACUCCUACGGGAGGCAGCAGUGGGGAAUAUUGCACAAUGGGCGCAAGCCUGAUGCAGCCAUGCCGCGUGUAUGAAGAAGGCCUUCGGGUUGUAAAGUACUUUCAGCGGGGAGGAAGGGAGUAAAGUUAAUACCUUUGCUCAUUGACGUUACCCGCAGAAGAAGCACCGGCUAACUCCGUG
rnacentral:rRNA from 1 species